CGGUCCAGACUCCUACGGGAGGCAGCACUGGGGAAUAUUGCACAAUGGGCGCAAGCCUGGAUGGCAGCGACGCCGCGUGGGGGGAUGACGGCCUUCGGGUUGUAAACUCCUUUCGACAGGGACGAAGCUUUAUUGUGACGGUACGUGUAAAAAAAACCCCGGCUAUCUACGUGCCAGCAGCCGCGGUAA
rnacentral:rRNA from 1 species